rnacentral:SRP_RNA from 1 species
GCCGGGCGUUGGUGGCGCACGCCUUUAAUCCCAGCACUCGGGAGGCAGAGGCAGGAGGAUCACUGUGAGUUCGAGACCAGCCUGGUCUACUGAGCGAGUUCCAGGGCAGCCUCCAAAUCCACAGAGAAACCCUGUCUCGAAUAAACAAACAAACAAACAAAAAAGAUACUUUUUUUUUUUUUUUUUGGUUUUUCGAGACAGGGUUUCUCUGUAUUGUUUUGGAGGCUGUCCUGGAACUUGCUCUGUAGACCAGGCUGACCUUGAACUCACAAAGAUUCCCCUGCCUCUG